GCCGGGUGGGGUGGCCUGUGCCUGUAGUCCCAGCUACUCGGGAGGCUGAGGCUGGAGGAUCUCUUGAGUCCAGGAGUUCUGGGCUGUAGUGUGCUAUGCUGAUCAGGUGUCCACACUAAGUUCGGCAUCAAUAUGGUGACCUCCUGGGAGCAGGGGACCACCAGGUUGCCUAAGGAGGGGUGAACCAGCCCAGGUUCAGAAACAGAGCAGGUCAAAACUCCCGUGCUGAUCAGUAGCAGGAUCGCACCUGUGAAUAGCCAGUGCACUCCAGCCUGGGCAACACAGCGAGACCCUGUCUCUA
ensembl:misc_RNA Metazoa_SRP Metazoan signal recognition particle RNA